CGAGACUGACGCUGCUGCCGGGUACAUCUACGACCCUGCCGAUCAGUCCAUUGCCGCAGAGCAGCAAGGCAAGCAAACUCCCCUUGAUCAUUCCUAUAUCGCCUAUGUCUUUCUUCCUACUGCUUGCAUUAGUAUUUUGCUACUGUUGUAGUUAGCUCCUAUAUCUGAUGCAUAGCCUGUUUUUGAUGAACUGCUACUUUCAGUCAUGUACCCUUAAUCUGCUUAGUAUAGGUGGAGCAGUCAUCCCCUCUGACCCCGUAGGUCAGUUGCCCCGCUUGUUUUCAAAUCUCGAUCUCUGAUCGACGAGCCAGACCCGACACAGCACGUUCACCCCCUUCGUUGUACGACGCUACAGGGAUACUAUCGGGUACCGAGGGUGAC
rnacentral:lncRNA from 1 species